ACACGUGGGCAACCUGCCCUGUAGACUGGGAUAACUUCGGGAAACCGGAGCUAAUACCGGAUAAUCCAUUUCACCUCAUGGUGAAAUGUUAAAAGGCGCAUCUCGCGUCACUACAGGAUGGGCCCGCGGUGCAUUAGCUAGUUGGUGGGGUAACGGCCUACCAAGGCAACGAUGCAUAGCCGACCUGAGAGGGUGAUCGGCCACAUUGGGACUGAGACACGGCCCAAACUCCUACGGGAGGCAGCAGUAGGGAAUCUUCCACAAUGGACGAAAGUCUGAUGGAGCAACGCCGCGUGAGUGAUGAAGGUUUUCGGAUCGUAAAACUCUGUUGUAAGGGAAGAACAAGUACGUUAGGAAAUGAACGUACCUUGACGGUACCUUAUUAGAAAGCCACGGCUAACUACGUGCCAGCAGCCGCGGUAAUACGUAGGUGGCAAGCGUUGUCCGGAUUUAUUGGGCGUAAAGCGCGCGCAGGCGGUUUCUUAAGUCUGAUGUGAAAGCCCACGGCUUAACCGUGGAGGGUCAUUGGAAACUGGGAGACUUGAGUGCAGAAGAGGAAAGUGGAAUUCCAAGUGUAGCGGUGAAAUGCGUAGAGAUUUGGAGGAACACCAGUGGCGAAGGCGACUUUCUGGUCUGCAACUGACGCUGAGGCGCGAAAGCAUGGGGAGCAAACAGGAUUAGAUACCCUGGUAGUCCAUGCCGUAAACGAUGAGUGCUAAGUGUUAGGGGGUUUCCGCCCCUUAGUGCUGCAGCUAACGCAUUAAGCACUCCGCCUGGGGAGUACGACCGCAAGGUUGAAA
rnacentral:rRNA from 1 species